GGAGAGAUGACUGGGUGGACUAAAGCGGUGGAUUGCUAAUCCGUUGAACAAGUCAAUCAUACCGAGGGUACGAAUCCCUCUCUUUCUG